CUAGGCCCUUGAGAGUUAUAGGAACUGUCGGAGUUCUGGAUAAUGUGAGAGCCUUAGGAGACUCUAGGCCGUGUAGGCACCUUGAGAGUUGUAGGAAACUCUGAGAGAUAUAGGAACGGUGAGAGUUAUAGGGAAUGCAGGAACUCUAGGCACCGUGAGAAAUGAUGAAGGAACUCUGAGAGAUGCAGGAACGGUGAGAGCUAUACGGAUUAUAGGAACUUUAAGCACCGUGAGAGAAGACGUGACUCUGAGAGAUAUAGGAACGGUGAGAGUUGUAGGAAAUGCAGGAACUCUAGACACCGUGAGAGACGAUCAAACUCUAAAGUUUUAUUCUGAUGUGAGUACGGAGGAAAGCUCGGUAUGGGUGUGCCCUUUGAACGAAGAACGCGGAUUCGUUGCUUACAUUUUUAGUUAGGAAAGUGAGGGCAAUGGUCCGCGAUGCCGAUUGGUUAUGACCAAUGUUAGGAAGGAAGAAAGGAGAAAGAAGCCUCCUACCAACUUGGAUCCUAGGCGACAUUGUUUAUAGGGAAACUCAGAUUUUCCGUUAG
rnacentral:misc_RNA from 1 species